GACGAACGCUGGCGGCGUGCCUAAUACAUGCAAGUCGAACGCAGUGGGGACGGGUGAGUAACACGUGGGUAACCUCCCAUCAGAGGGGAUAACACUUGGAAACAGGUGCUAAACCGAUACUGAUGGAUGGACCCGCGGUUCAUUAGCGAGUUGGGGAGGUAACGGCUCACCAGGGCCACGAUGAAUAGCAGACCUGAGAGGGUGAGCGGACCACCGGGGACUGGGACACGGCCCAGACUCCUACGGGAGGACGCAGGAGGGAAGCUGCGGCAAUGGACGAAAGUCUGACAGAGAAACGCGGCGUGAGUGAAGAAGGUUUUCGGAUCGUAGAACUCUGUUGUUAGAGAAGCGGUAUCUAACCAGAAAGCCACGGCUAACUACGUGACAGCAGCCGCGGUAAUUC
rnacentral:rRNA from 1 species